rnacentral:rRNA from 1 species
CAGUCGCCGCGGUAAUGCGUAGGUCCCGAGCGUUGUCCGGAUUUAUUGGGCGUAAAGCGAGCGCAGGCGGUUAGAUAAGUCUGAAGUUAAAGGCUGUGGCUUAACCAUAGUACGCUUUGGAAACUGUUUAACUUGAGUGCAAGAGGGGAGAGUGGAAUUCCAUGUGUAGCGGUGAAAUGCGUAGAUAUAUGGAGGAACACCGGUGGCGAAAGCGGCUCUCUGGCUUGUAACUGACGCUGAGGCUCGAAAGCGUGGGGAGCAAACAGGAUUAGAGACCCCCGUAGUCCCUGUCUCUUAUACA